rnacentral:rRNA from 1 species
UUGAUCCUGGCUCAGAAUCAACGCUGGCGGCGCGCUUAACACAUGCAAGUCGAGCGAGAAAGGGGAGCAAUCCCUGAGUAAAGCGGCGUACGGGUGAGUUACACGUGGAUAAUCUACCUUUUAGUGGGGAAUAACCCUGGGAAACCGGGUCUAAUACCGCAUAAUCCUGUGAAGGGAAAGCGCCUAUUUAAAAGAUGGGUGCGCUGAAAGAGGAGUCCGCGGCCGAUUAGCUAGUUGGUGAGGUAAUGGUUCACCAAGGCGGUGAUCGGUAGCCGGCCUGAGAGGGCACACGGCCACACUGGCACUGAAACACGGGCCAGACUCCUACGGGAGGCAGCAGUGGGGAAUCUUGCACAAUGGAGGCAACUCUGAUGCAGCGACGCCGCGUGAGCGAUGAAGUCCUUCGGGGUGUAAAGCUCUUUCGGCAGGGACGAUAAUGACGGUACCUGUAGAAGAAGCUGCGGCUAACUACGUGCCAGCAGCCGCGGUAAUAAGGU